rnacentral:lncRNA from 1 species
CUGAUUGGACUCCAAUCAGCUUCUGGUUCUUCCGCCCUCCCCGUGGGGAAUUUGCCCGGGUGACCUCUUCUUGGCUGGCCGGACGAGUGGGAUCCGUGGCAGGAGUGAGCCGGUGGGCACUCUGGGCAGCUCUUCCGGGUGCUAGGGUUUGUGCCAACCUCACGCUGUUUACUUGACCGAAUCAAUCCAUCGGUUUCUUUGAUUUCUUCCUCUGGUUGCUUGUUUUCUCGUCUCAGAGUGAAAUGCGGCGCUGCCGUCUGGUUCUAUCGCGUAAAUGCAUGGCGUAGUGGAGAUGCUUGCAAUUAAUUUCUUCUGCAAUGAGAUGUGCUCUGGGAGAGAUUUUUUGCCGUGCAUUUGCGUAAUGCGGCCCGGUUGUCCGGAGCAAUGUUUAGCCGACAUUGAAUGGUGUUUACGACAAGGCGUCAUGUUAACUUCUAAUGUUGCUCGCUCUGUCC